UUUGGUUGAUCCUGCCGGAGGCCAUUGCUAUUGGGAUCCGAUUUAGCCAUGCUAGUCGCACGGGUUCAGACUCGUGGCGAAUAGCUCAGUAACACGUGGCCAAACUACCCUUCGGAACACAAUACCCUCGGGAAACUGAGGCUAAUAGUGUAUACCAUACCACCACUGGAAUGAGUGGUAUGCCAAACGCUCCGGCGCCGAUGGAUGUGGCUGCGGCCGAUUAGGUAGACGGUGGGGUAACGGCCCACCGUGCCAAUAAUCGGUAUGGGUCAUGAGAGUGAGAACCCAGAGACGGAAUCUGAGACAAGAUUCCGGGCCCUACGGGGCGCAGCAGGCGCGAAACCUUUACACUGCACGAUAGUGCGAUAGGGGGAUCCCAAGUGCACAGGCAUAGCGCCUGUGCUUUUCGGUACCCUAAGGCGGUACCAGAAUAGGGGCUGGGCAAGACCGGUGCCAGCCGCCGCGGUAAUACCGGCAGCCCAAGUGAUGGCCGAUCUUAUUGGGCCUAAAGCGUCCGUAGCUGGCCGCGCAAGUCCAUCGGGAAAUCCACCUGCUCAACAGGUGGGCGCCCGGUAGAAACUGCGUGGCUUGGGACCGGAAGGCGCGACGGGUACGUCCGGGGUAGGAGUGAAAUCCCGUAAUCCUGGACGGACCGCCGAUGGCGAAAGCACGUCGCGAGAACGGAUCCGACAGUGAGGGACGAAAGCCAGGGUCUCGAACCGGAUUAAAUACCCGGGUAGUCCUGGCCGUAAACAAUGUCUGCUAGGUGUGGCUCCCACUACNAGUGGGUGCUGUGCCNNAGGGAANCCGCUAANCAAACCGCCUGGG
rnacentral:rRNA from 1 species